rnacentral:rRNA from 1 species
UAGUCCACACCGUAAACGAUGAAUACUAGAUGUCGGGAGUUCUUACCCUUUCGGUGUCGCAGCUAACGCAAUAAGUAUUCCGCCUGGGGACUACGGUCGCAAGAUUAAAACUCAAAGAAAUUGACGGGGCCCGCACAAGCGGUGGAGUAUGUUGUUUAAUUCGAGGCAACGCGAAAAACCUUACCUGGGUUUGACAUCCCGCGCAAUCCAGCGAAAGUUGGAGUUCCCUUCGGGGACGCGGUGACAGGUGCUGCAUGGCUGUCGUCAGCUCGUGUCGUGAGAUGUUGGGUUAAGUCCCGCAACGAGCGCAACCCUUGUUGCUAGUUGCCAGCAUUAAGUUGGGCACUCUAGUGAGACCGCUUGCCGAUAAGGCAGAGGAAGAUGGGGAUGACGUCAAGUCAGCAUGGGCCCUUACAUCCAGGGGCUACAAACGUACUACAAUGGCCAGUACAGAGCGUUGCGAAGUCGUGAGGCUAAGCUAAUCGCAGAAAACU